rnacentral:rRNA from 1 species
AUGGCGGUGGAUCUGACCCCGAGGCAGCCGGCGAAGGCGUACGGCGGCGAGGGCGGCGCCUACUACGAGUGGAGCCCAGCCGAGCUGCCCAUGCUCGGUGUCGCCUCCAUCGGCGCAGCCAAGCUCUCGCUCGCCGCCGGCGGCAUGUCCCUCCCCAGCUACUCCGACUCCGCAAAGGUCGCCUACGUCCUCCAAGGCAAGGGAACCUGUGGCAUCGUCCUGCCUGAGGCCACCAAGGAGAAGGUGGUCGCCGUCAAGGAGGGUGACGCUAUGGCGCUCCCGUUCGGCGUGGUCACCUGGUGGCACAACACCCCGGGGUCUGCGACGGAGCUCGUCAUCCUCUUUCUUGGCGACACCUCCAAGGGCCACAGGCCCGGCCAGUUCACCAACUUCCAGCUCACGGGCGCCAGCGGCAUCUUCACCGGCUUCUCCACAGAGUUCGUCGGCCGCGCCUGGGACCUCAAGCAGAAUGACGCGGCCAAGCUCGUCUCCAGCCAGCCAGCCUCCGGCAUCGUCAAGCUCUCGGCCGGGCAGAAGCUCCCCGAGCCUGUCGCAGAGGACCGCAAGGACAUGGCGCUCAACUGCCUGGAGGCCAAGCUCGACGUGGACAUCCCCAAGGGCGGCCGUGUGGUGGUGCUCAACACGGCCAACCUGCCGCUUGUUAAGGAGGUCGGGCUGGGGGCUGACCUGGUCAGGAUCGACGCCCACUCCAUGUGCUCCCCUGGAUUCUCGUGCGAUUCGGCGUACCAGGUCACGUAUAUCGUCCGUGGCAGCGGGCGCGUGCAGGUCGUCGGCCCGGACGGCAAGCGUGUGCUGGAGACCCGCAUCGAGGGCGGCAGCCUCUUCAUCGUGCCCCGCUUCCACGUUGUGUCCAAGAUCGCUGAUGCCUCUGGCAUGGAGUGGUUCUCCAUCAUCACCACCCCCAACCCGAUCUUCAGCCACCUGGCGGGGAAGACAUCGGUGUGGAAGGCCAUCUCGCCGGAGGUGCUGGAGGCGUCAUUCAACACGACGCCGGAGAUGGAGAAGCUCUUCCGGUCCAAGAGGCUCGACUCCGAGAUCUUCUUCGCCCCCAACUAG